AAAAAACUAAAAUUUUCCUUAAUUUUCUUUUACUUCCAGGUCUUAAAAUUCAGGUGGACCAAUUCUAGUUCCUAGACCUCUUAUUCCGUUUGGGAUUGGUUAGGAAUUCAGUUGGCACCCGGGAUAGAUAACCGAAGAGUUAAUCCGGUCUAAUUUGAUGAUAAAAUGAUUUAAAAUUCAGUGUUGGUUCCGGAGGAGUUUAGAUUCCAAUAAUAUGGUUUUUAUGGACAUCCAAUUGUUCCUGCCAACAACAGGAAGCAAGAAGUAAAACUUCCAUCUUCGAAAAGUAAAUUGUUUAUAAUUUAGCUCGGGGAUAAACCGGAUCUGGCAAUUCUUUUUCAGCGGCAACUAGCUGGUUUACGGGAGGCAAUUAUAGAGCGGGAAGAGUUCUUUUGGCUGAUGAGGCUUUCCUGUCAGUCCGUAUUAGGGUCCGUUCGUGUAAACCAGGGUUUUUGUUAUAAAUAUAUAUGGCUAAGACCACCUGAGAUCUCAAAAUCACGCGUUACUUUGUAAAAGGCCUGAGCUCAACCCUGUUCGCGCACGUUUGAAAAAAAAGCAAACGGAAUGGAUUCGAUACGAUGAAUGAUAGAAAUUAUUUAAAAAGGACACUCGUCCGGUCCGCCUUGUCGUCCGGGUGCAAACUCACAGAAGGUCGGAAAACCAAAAAUUAUACCAAAGCACCCCAGGCGUGGUGGUGCUGGAAAACAGCUUCUCCCUCGUUGGAUGGAGUCGGUGUUGAAGUGGCUUUGCAGGUUUGUGUUUUGCUUUGGUUUAAUUUAAAAAUUUAGUUUUAAGUUUAGUUUUAAGUUUAGUUAAUUCUUUUUUUUUUUAAUAAAAUUGAUUUAAUUUAUAAAAAA